rnacentral:rRNA from 1 species
GAUGAACGCUGGCGGCGUGCCUAAUACAUGCAAGUCGAGCGAACGGACGAGAAGCUUGCUUCUCUGAUGUUAGCGGCGGACGGGUGAGUAACACGUGGAUAACCUACCUAUAAGACUGGGAUAACUUCGGGAAACCGGAGCUAAUACCGGAUAAUAUUUUGAACCGCAUGGUUCAUAGGUGAAAGACGGUCUUGCUGUCACUUAUAGAUGGAUCCGCGCUGCAUUAGCUAGUUGGUAAGGUAACGGCUUACCAAGGCAACGAUGCAUAGCCGACCUGAGAGGGUGAUCGGCCACACUGGAACUGAGACACGGUCCAGACUCCUACGGGAGGCAGCAGUAGGGAAUCUUCCGCAAUGGGCGAAAGCCUGACGGAGCAACGCCGCGUGAGUGAUGAAGGUCUUCGGAUCGUGAAACUCUGUUAUUAGGGAAGAACAUAUGUGUAAGUAACUGUGCGCAUCUUGACGGUACCUAAUCAAAAAGCCACGGCUAACUACGUG